CAAUAGCGUAUAUUAACGUUGUUGCAGUUAAAAAGCUCGUAGUUGGAUUUCUGGAGGGAGCGUCGGCCCGAAUUUACGAGUGCGUGACGUCUCUGUCCAUCCUUGCGGGAAGGCACGGCAUUGAUUUGUUGUGUCGGAUCGCAUCAUUUACUGUGAAAAAAUUAGAGUGUUCAAAGCAGGCUUUCGCUUGAAUACAUUAGCAUGGAAUAAUAAGAUAGGACUUUGGUGCUAUUUUGUUGGUUGAGCCUAAAGUAAUGAUUAAUAGGGAUAGUUGGGGGCACCUGUAUUGCGUUGUCAGAGGUGAAAUUCUUGGAUUUACGCAAGACAAACAGCUGCGAAAGCGUCUGCCAAGGAUGUUUUCAUUAA
rnacentral:rRNA from 1 species